CCUACGGGGUGCAGCAGUGAGGAAUAUUGGUCAAUGGUCGGGAGACUGAACCAGCCAAGCCGCGUGAGGGAUGAAGGUACAGAGUAUCGUAAACCUCUUUUGUCAGGGAACAAAGGCGGUGACGCAUCCCCGGAUGAGUGUACCUGAAGCAAAAGCAUCGGCUAACUCCGUGCCAGCAGCCGCGGUAAUACGGAGGGUGCGAGCGUUAAUCGGAAUUACUGGGCGUAAAGCGCUCGUAGGCGGUAGGUCAAGUCAAGGGUGAAAUCCCCGCGCUCAACGUGGGAACUGCCUUUGAAACUGGCAAACUGGAGUGUGUGAGAGGAUAGUGGAAUUCCAGGUGUAGGAGUGAAAGCAGUAGAUAUCUGGAGGAACAUCAGUGGCGAAGGCGACUAUCUGGCACAUAACUGACGCUGAGGAGCGAAAGCGUGGGUAGCAAACAGGAUUAGAUACCCUGGUAGUC
rnacentral:rRNA from 1 species